ACUCCUACGGGAGGCAGCAGUGGGGAAUAUUGCACAAUGGGCGCAAGCCUGAUGCAGCCAUGCCGCGUGUAUGAAGAAGGCCUUCGGGUUGUAAAGUACUUUCAGCAGUGAGGAAGGUGGGUAUGUUAAUAGCAUACUCAUUUGAUGUUAGCUGCAGAAGAAGCACCGGCUAACUCCGUGCCAGCAGCCGCGGUAAUACGGAGGUGCGAGCGUUAAUCGGAAUUACUGGCGUAAAGCGCAUGCAGGUGGUUUGUUAAGUCAGAUGUGAAAGCCCGGGGCUCAACCUCGGAAUUGCAUUUGAAACUGGCAAACUAGAGUACUGUAGAGGGGGGUAGAAUUUCAGGUGUAGCGGUGAAAUGCGUAGAGAUCUGAAGGAUACCGGUGGCGAAGGCGGCCCCCUGGACAGAUACUGACACUCAGAUGCGAAAGCGUGGGGAGCAAACAGGAUUAGAUACCCUGGUAGGCUC
rnacentral:rRNA from 1 species